rnacentral:rRNA from 1 species
ACUCAAUAGAUACCCGGGUAGUCCACGCCCUAAACGAUGUCUACUAGUUGUUGGUGGAGUAAAAUCCAUGAGCAAACGCAGCUAACGCGUGAAGUAGACCGCCUGGGGAGUACGGUCGCAAGAUUAAAACUCAAAGGAAUUGACGGGGGCCCGCACAAGCGGUGGAUUAUGUGGAUUAAUUCGAUGCAACGCGAAAACCUUACCUGGCCUUGACGUGCCACUAACGAAGCAGAGAUGCAUUAGGUGCCCGUAAGGGAAAGUGGACACAGGUGCUGCAUGGCUGUCGUCAGCUCGCGUCGUGAGAUGUUGGGUUAAGUCCCGCAACGAGCGCAACCCUUGCCAUUAAUUGCCAUCAUUUAGUUGGGCACUUUAAUGGGACUGCCGGUGACAAACCGGAGGAAGGUGGGGAUGACGUCAAGUCCUCAUGGCCCUUAUGGCCAGGGCUUCACACGUAAUACAAUGGUCGGUACAGAGAGUUGCCAACCCGCGAGGGGUAGCUAAUCUCAGAAAGCCGAUCGUAGUCCGGAUUGUUCU